AUGGACAGCCACUUAACAUUUGUUUGGAAGAUAUCAAGAAACUGGGGAGAGUUAGUCCUGAUAAGGUCCCAGAGACUCACGCUUCUGGGUUCCAGCUGGAUUCUCAAGAUCAAAAUAACAUGGGAGAAUGUCAGUCAGAGUUCUCACCCAUUCACCAGGAGUCAGCCAGCAGCUAACCUGCCAGGAGGCAAAAACCCAGACAAAAGCUGCAGAUCCAAACUUCCGGCCUCUCACAAGUGUUUUGCAUUAACUGUUCCACAGUACAAAUACAAUCAACUUGGUAUGUUUGUUUCAUUUUGUUUUUUUCAAAAAUGUUUUAAAAUAAUCAGUCAUGCUAAACACAUUGUUGUUUUUCUAAAGGCCACUUUAUAAAAAUGACGACAGAACCAUGGAAAUAAAACUCAACUGUUAGGAAAAUGCUAGAAGUUUGUUUUCUCUUUUUUUUUUUCCUGGCUUUUUUUUUUUUUUAUAUCUCAGGGCUGGUGCCACCUGCUGCCUGGGCUUUCCUCUGAGAAACAGAUCUCUCAACAGUUUGAUCCAAGCAACAUCUGCAUAGCUGAACAAACCCUGGACUGGUUCUGAGGCAGGCUCUAUUUUCUUUAUGUACUGCACACUGAACCACACUGAAUUUCUUUUUAAAGCUUUUUUUUUUUUUUUUAAGUCUUGGUAAAGAUCCAAAUGUAUGUUCCCUCCUGGACACAUUAUUUUUAAUCAUGGUAAAAUAUACAUAAAAUUUACCUUUUCAACCAUUUCUCAAAAGUCUUUUAAAGUCAGCUACCAGUAAAAGGUAAAAGGUUCAUUCAUUCACCAAAAUCAUUGCCUCCUUGUCACCUGUUCAGACCAGUGAACAGUGGGAAAAAAAACAUCAAUACAUAUGGACCUAGAGCAGGACUUGGUCAAGUACAGCCUGUAAGCCAACUCUGGCCCACUGCCUGUUUUUGUAUGUCCUAUGAGCUAAAAUAUGCUUUUUAAACUUUUAAAUGGUUGAAAAAACUGAAACUUGUGACACAUAAAAAUUACACAAAAUUCGAAUGUGGGUGUCCAUGUGAGUUUUAUUGGAAGACAGCCACUCUCAUUCAUUCGCAUUUUGUCUAUGGCCUCUUUUGCCCUACAAAGCCAGAGUUGAGUAAUUGCAGCAGACAGUACAUGGCCCACAAAACCCCAAUUAUUUACUGUCUAGCCCUUUAUAAAAAAUGAUUGCCGACACCUGAUCUAGACCUCAGAUGGCAUUACAGGCUUGAAAAUUCUACACUAAAGACAAUAUAUUGCCCAUCACACCAAAUUCCUAAUCUGUACACUGUGAAGCAAUUGAAAGCAAUAUAUUUUACCUUCAUCACUGAUUGCCUUUGAUCCUAAUAACCUAAAUCAUAAGUAAGCGUAUCAAGAAUAUCUCUAUAAAAUGUACCGACUUGCUGUUUCUUAGCAGUGAGCUUAAACUGACCUUCUUUUUGCUGUAAGAUUUAUAAAAGGUCUCAUUACAUAUCUCAAACACUUAAAUAGCUUUGUUGGGGAGUGAGAAGUUUUCACAAAAAGAUAAGAGUUCUUUGAUGCCCGGUCAGUUUUGACUGUUUCCCUGUCUCUUAAAAUACUAAAAGCAUAAAAGAAACUGGCAUGCACAUUGGUCCCCUUCAUUCCUCUCAGCCCUUCUGUUCAUUCAUGCUAAGUCCCUUCAAUCAUGUUCAAUUCUUUGCCGUCCCAUGUAGCCCGCCAAGUCCCUCUGUCCAUGGGAUUCUCCAGGCAAGAAUACUGCAGUGGGGUGCCAUCUCCUCUUCCAGGGGAUCUUCCCAACCCAGGGACUGAACUCCUGUCUCUGGAAUUGGGAGGCAGGUUUUUUGCAGGUAAUCCUAUUAACAUUAAUGGAGUCCCCACAAGGGGCAAAGAAAGCUCUGUACAGUAUGAAGUUCUUACUGUUAACUGAACUCACAGGUUUUAGGGCAAGACACAUUACUGUCUAAUGGGACAAAUUCUAGAUGAGGAGCUGGAGGAGAAUGAGUAUGAACUAUAAAAUUAUGUUCACAGCAAAUGUUACCAGAGUUGAGACACUGCUGACGCACACCCAGCAGGCCCUAAAUGUGGAGAAACACUGAUGGUGAAGGUGAAACACUGAAGGUAUUUGCCUUCAGCGGAAAACUCAGAGCUAAAGUCCACCCAGCCUUCUCUUCCUACCUCUGGCGGUCCCCUGCAGGUUAGUAAAUUCCAGAUGGGAGUCCACGUCGGGAGAGUCCAUGGCCCUGGCUGCCUUUCUCCUUGAAGAGGGAGUCUAGAUUCCACCACUAACUUCUACAUCCUUCCUUAUCAGUUAUGAGGGAAAGGAGAGGAUCUCAAAGGAUGAAGAGAAGGGAGAUUAUUUGGGGUUGGCUAUACAUUGUAAUUAGAAGUAUCACUGAUAGGGAAUGAGCUAACUGUUUUCAUAAAGUCAGCAUUCAAAAAUGCAAACCACCAGUAAUUUAAAUAUUACAAAAUUAUGCAGAAUGUAAGUACUGAAAUAAUUUUUUCCAUCCACAAAAUUUUAGAGAAAAUUACAGUAUCAAAAAUAUGAAAUGGCAAGCCUGACAUAUCUUCAGAGUAAAACAUGUUUUUUAUUGGAAAGGAUUUUUAAAAACUAGUGGGUAGGCUCUAGACAGGAUGUGAUGGUGAAGAAAGACCAUGUGGUAUCUCCCCCAAAUUGCACUGGAACUAAAGAGGAAAAGUCACAAAGGCACUGAUGUAUUAUAUCAAGAUGGUAGAGAGAAAAGCUGAUGAGGCUCACUGAAUUGGGAAGAUGGGCGUUAUCAGAAAUCAUUUCAUAAUGGUUAUUUAUUUGUCCCUACCCCAGACCCACUCUUCCCAGGUGGCUCAAUGUAAAGAAUCCACCUGCCAAUGCUGGAGACUUAGGAGAUUUGAGUUUGAUCCCUGGGUCAGGAAGAUCCCCUGGAGGAGGAAAUGGCAACCCACUCCAGUAUUCUUGUCUGAAAAAUCCCUUGGACAGAGAAGCCUGGUGGGCUAUAGUCCAUAGGGUUGCAGGACUUAAGGACUAAGCGAGCACACAGACACACACAAACCCCAUACCCUCCAAUAAAAGCAUGCCGAGGUUCACGUGACAUAAGGGCUGCUGCACUUGAUCCUUUCUACUGAAGCAAAGGUGCCUGAGAAGGGUGCCACCUUCCAACGAGCAUAAGCACGCAGCAGGCUCCCUGAACACUUUUCAGAGCUAUUACUUUGCCCUUUCCAGGAGAGGAACCAGUUUAUUUCCACCCGUACCUCUCUCCAUAGAGGACAUUAAAUCCUGACCACAGAGAUGGCAAAGUGGAGCUAAGGGGUUACUAGGUUACAGUUAUGUUGACAUAUCCUGGCUCUCAGAAAGUUCCUCCGUCAUUCCUCACAUAUGGUAAACAGUAAAAGUGAUCAAACUUUUGCAGAAGUUUUUGUAGACGUCCCCUUAAGAGGCCACUGAUCACUCAGAAACCCCUUCCUGAGCUUAAGCUUUACAGCACUUGGAGAGCCCCAUUCUACCUCUCUCUCUAAAGCCAAGCUUUGCCUUUUACGGGGUUUAAUCAGAUUGGAAGCUCAGAGCACUCCCAGCGCAAAGGAGGUGUCCAGCACUUGGCAAACUGUGAAGCACUAUAAAAAGAAUUCUUAAAUGUGUUCAGUGACUGCCUGCUGUAUGUGGGUGUGUUACCUGCAGUAUAUCCUUUAAUCUUCACACACCCAGCAAGGGAAUUACCAUCAUCCCUCCUUUACAGAUGAGGAAACUGAGGCUCAGAGAGGCACAGCCCAAAGUCACCCAGUAAGUGACAACAUUAAACUUGAUCUUUAUCAGGAAACCAAGCUGGCAAGUAAACAAAGCAACCCAGAGUUUUCUUUCAGCAGCAAAAUCCUGUCUCUCAAACAUCACAGUCUGUGACUUUGGGUGGAGAACCCAGAGGCUUGAGUUUUCCCACUCAGGCAAAUCUGUAAUGGACUUUUCCCACCCCUUUCCCUCAUGUCCAAUUCUCCACACUUGAACAACCUGCUGAGGAAGGUCCCUGGGCCAGACAACGCCCUCUUGCCUGCUCUUCAACUUGGGAGAGUUCUGCUGCAAGGAAGGGUGUGAGGACAAGCUAAGCAAGUUCCAGCUUCCAUCCCGGUCUAGGGCGCUAUGUGGGGAAAACCUGGCCUUGACCUUGGCCUGGGGAGCGGGUGACCCUGUUUAAAGUGCGGAGAUACCCACGGGAAACGGGGGCUCUGCGUUGCACUCGCACGACGAGCACACUAAACUCUGUAAGGGAGACGUUUGCCAUCACCCCCUUCCUUUCUUCCUCUCCCCACGCUGGACCUGCACCUGAGUCCCCGGGAAGUUCAAAGCGGGCCCCGGGGGGCGAGGGGCAGGGGACGUGCAGGCAGGGCAGAGCCGGUCGUCUCGGGACCCAGAUCCGCCUCUACUAGUAGGACAGGCAGCUCAACUCCUCACGAGGCGCAGAUCAGAGCUGGGCUAGCGGGGCGCAGACCCGGGCAGAGGGGCCAGGCGCCCGCUCUCGUCGCCUCUCGGCACCCGCUCAGGAGCCGGGAGGCGCUGGGCCCGCGGACGUGGGAGGGAAAGGGACCGGGGGGCGUCGUUGCGGGGCUUGCGGAGGGCGUCCUGGCCCGGGGUGUCGCUGAGGGGCUUGGGGUGGGGGUGGGGCAGCGUCCCCAAGCGGGGCGAGUCGCCCCAAGGGACUUGAACUGGGCUGGGGGUGCGAGGCCCUGAGAGGGGAGACCUCCCGGCCGGGGGGGGCGUCGCUGAGGAGCCUGAGGAAAGGGUCUGAGGUACUGAGGUACAGAGGGCGCCGGCCAGGGGCGUCGCGGAGGGGCCUGAGGAGAAGGGCCGCCUAGUCCGAGGGGCGUCGCUGAGGGGCUGGAAAAGGAGCCCCACUAAGCACGGGCGAGGAAGUUGGGCCCCUGGGCGGGCUCCGCGAGGGACAGGCGGCGGCGGGGGGCUCGCUCACUCACCGGGUCCGGGGCCAAGGCCGGGGCCGGGCGCGGGCCGGGCGGCCAGCGUGAGCGCGGCGGCGGAGAGCAAGGCGAGGCGGGCGGCGGGCGGCGCCAUGGGCCGUCAGUGCGGGGCCCCGGGGCGCGGCCCGGGGGAGAGGGGGCAGCGCAGGGAGCCGGGGGCGGCCAUGGGAGCGGGACGCUGGGCUUGAGCGUGGCCCCGCCCCGGCCGCCCG
rnacentral:lncRNA from 1 species